rnacentral:rRNA from 1 species
AUACGGAGGAUCCGAGCGUUAUCCGGAUUUAUUGGGUUUAAAGGGAGCGUAGGUGGACAGUUAAGUCAGUUGUGAAAGUUUGCGGCUCAACCGUAAAAUUGCAGUUGAUACUGGCUGUCUUGAGUACAGUAGAGGUGGGCGGGAUUCGUGGGGUAGCGGUGAAAUGCUUAGAUAUCACGAAGAACUCCGAUUGCGAAGGCAGCUCACUGGACUGCAACUGACACUGAUGCUCGAAAGUGUGGGUAUCAAACAGGAUUAGAUACCCUGGUAGUCCACACAGUAAACGAUGAAUACUCGCUGUUUGCGAUAUACAGUAAGCGGCCAAGCGAAAGCAUUAAGUAUUCCACCUGGGGAGUACGCCGGCAACGGUGAAACUUAAAUGAAUUGGCGGGG